rnacentral:rRNA from 1 species
GCAGUGACUCUAUGUGACUGGCUAGACGACGCUGGCGGCGUGCUUAACACAUGCAAGUCGAGUGCGCGCCUGUAGCAAUACAGGUGGCGCACGGCGCACGGGUGCGUAACACGUGGGUAACCUGCCCUUUAGUGGGGAAUAACCUCGCGAAAGCGAGGCUAAUUCCGCAUAAGAUCCGCAAGGAUGAAAGCCGAAAGGCGCUGAUGGAGGGGCCCGCGCACGAUUAGCUAGUUGGUGAGGUAAUGGCUCACCAAGGCUAUGAUCGUUAGCUGGUCUGAGAGGAUGGCCAGCCACACUGGAACUGAGACACGGUCCAGACUCCUACGGGAGGCAGCAGUGGGGAAUCUUGCACAAUGGGCGAAAGCCUGAUGCAGCGACGCCGCGUGGGGGAUGAAGCUUCUCGGAGUGUAAACCCCUUUCGACCCGGACGAAUACCUCGCAAGAGGGGUGACGGUACGGGUAUAAGAAGCCCCGGCUAACUACGUGCCAGCAGCCGCGGUAAGACGUAGGGGGCCAGCGUUGUUCGGAAUUACUGGGUGUAAAGGGUUCGUAGGCGGUGUGGCAAGUCGGGAGUGAAAUCUAUGGGCUUAACCCAUAGGCUGCUUCCGAAACUGCCGUGCUUGAGUGUGGGAGAGGCGCGUGGAAUUGCAGGUGUAGCGGUGAAAUGCGUAGAUAUCUGCAGGAACACCCGUGGCGAAAGCGGCGCGCUGGACCACUACUGACGCUGAGGAACGAAAGCUAGGGGAGCAAACAGGAUUAGAUACCCUGGUAGUCCUAGCCCUAAACGAUCAGGACUUGGGUGCACCCGUUCGGGUGUCGUCCCGGAGCUACGCGUUAAGUCCUGCACCUGGGGGAGUACGGUCGCAAGACUGAAACUCAAAGGAA